AUGUCCACCCCGCACCUGAGCGGCAUCGCCGCCGUCAUCAAGAGCCUGCACCCGAGCUGGUCCCCGGCGGCCAUCAAGUCGGCGCUCAUGACCUCCUCGGACCCCGCGGACAAGGCCGGCGUGCCGGUCAAGGAUGAGCAGUACCGGCGGGCGAGCUUCUUCACCAUGGGCGCCGGGUACGUGAACCCGUCGCGCGCCGUGGACCCGGGCCUGGUCUACGACCUCUCGCCCAACGACUACAUCCCGUACCUGUGCGGGCUGGGCUACGGCGACGACGGCGUGAAGGAGAUCGUGCACCGCCGCGUGGACUGCGCCAAGCUGAAGCCCAUCACGGAGGCGGAGCUCAACUACCCGUCGCUGGUGGUGAAGCUGCUGUCGCAGCCGAUCACCGUCCGCCGCACCGUGAAGAACGUGGGCAAGGCGAACUCCGUGUACACGGCCGUGGUGGACAUGCCCAAGGAGGUGUCGGUCACGGUGCGCCCGCCCAUGCUGCGGUUCUCCAAGGUGGACGAGAGGCAGAGCUUCACGGUGACGGUGCGGUGGGCCGGGAAGCAGCCGGCCGUCGCCGGCGCCGAGGGGAACCUCAAGUGGGUCUCCCCGGAGCACGUGGUGCGGAGCCCCAUCGUGGUGCCGCCGGCCAAGGUGGUCGUCUAA
rnacentral:rRNA from 1 species